CACUCCAGCUGCCAUCACGGCUGUGGUGCAACAUCUGUAGAACCAUCAGCCACAAGGAAUUGCAAGCAUUCCCUGAAAUGAGGAGCAUUAUGAGGAAAAUCAGCACUAGAAAAUAUUCAGCACACAAUAACUGUCAGAGCUGCCUAUGGAAGAUGAUCUUCAUGUCUGCAAUGCCAUCCUUUCCAUGACAUCUCUCUCCUGUGCAAAGGCUGCCCUAUCUCAUGCUGAAAGGAGGAAUAGGAUGGAGGAAGGAGCUGUCCCUCACCCUGUGACCUGCCUGAGCCGGAGCUUCCCUUCUUCCCACAAAUGAGGGACUGAGAGUCCCACCGUCACUGCACCAAUGUAAGAGUGGCUUCUAACAGAGAAGACCCACACUUCUCCUCCAAUCAGAAGUCCUGUUUAAGUCCUCUCAGCUGGCCCUUUUGCAACCUGUUUGCUUCAGUGGAGUAAGUUUACUCCAUUUCGAUUGGAUUGAUUUGCACUGAUGAGAUGUGAGACAAUGGAGAUCACAGCCUUCAGGUUUUUUUUAAUUUCGU